UAUGAGAAUGAAGCCUUCGUCCAAACCAUAGUUACCCAACUUUGGAAGAUGAAAUUUGUAAAGUUGUAUAAUUUGAGGAAUGAUUUCGAACAAACGUGAUUCGACCCAAGAGUUCAUUCUCCAAGACACACAAGCAAACCCAAACUUGUUUGUGGUAGCAUUUAGAGGCACCAGCCCAUU